GCGAACGCUGGCGGCGUGGAUUAGGCAUGCAAGUCGAACGGUAUCAUCCUUUCGGGGGUGAGAGAGUGGCGAACUGGUGAGUAACACGUAGGUUAUCUACCCUCAAGACGGGGACAACCCAGGGAAACUUGGGCUAAUACCGGAUGUGAGCAACUUUUAGUUGUUUGAAAGGUGGCGUAAGCUGUCGCUUGGGGAUGAGCCUGCGUCCUAUUAGUUAGUUGGUGAGGUAACGGCUCACCUAGGCAAUGAUAGGUAGGCGGCCUUAACGGGUGGUCGCCCACACUGGGAUUGAGAUACGGCCCAGACUCCUACGGGAGGCAGCAGUCGAGAAUAGUCUACAAUGGACGGAAGUCUGAUAGUGCGACGCCGCGUGAACGAAGAAUCCCUUCGGGGUGUAAAGUUCUUUUAUACGUGAGCAGUGCCCUUUAUAUGAAUAGUAUAGAGGGAGGGAUUUAAGCGUAUGAAUAAGCAACGGCUAACUCCGUG
rnacentral:rRNA from 1 species